rnacentral:rRNA from 1 species
UACAGAGGUCCCAAGCGUUGUUCGGAUUCACUGGGCGUAAAGGGUGCGUAGGUGGUGAGGUAAGUCGGAUGUGAAAUCUCCGGGCUCAACCCGGAAAUGGCAUUGGAAACUACCUUGCUGGAGGAUUUGAGGGGGGAUUGGAAUACUUGGUGUAGCAGUGAAAUGCGUAGAUAUCAAGUGGAACACCAGUGGCGAAGGCGAAUCCCUGGAAAAUACCUGACACUGAGGCACGAAAGCUAGGG